CUCUGACCUCAAAUCAGGCAGGACUACCCGCUGAACUUA
rnacentral:rRNA from 1 species